rnacentral:rRNA from 1 species
UACGUAGGUGGCAAGCGUUGUCCGGAUUUACUGGGCGUAAAGAGCGCGCAGGCGGUCGUCCAAGUCGCGUGUGAAAGCCCCCGGCUCAACUGGGGAGGUCACGCGAUACUGGUCGACUCGAAGGCAGGAGAGGGUAGUGGAAUUCCCGGUGUAGUGGUGAAAUGCGUAGAUAUCGGAGGAACACCAGUGGCGAAGGCGACUACCUGGCCUGUUCUUGACGCUGAGGCGCGAAAGCUAGGGGAGCAAACGGGG